rfam:Polyorchis penicillatus potassium channel alpha subunit (jShal-alpha-1) mRNA, complete cds.
UUAGGGUAUGGCGAUAUGGUGCCAAAAACAAUCCCUGGUAAACUAGUUGGUAGUAUUUGCUCAUUAAGUGGGGUAUUAGUGAUAGCUCUACCCGUACCUGUUAUAGUAUCGAAC